rnacentral:rRNA from 1 species
UACGUAGGGGGCAAGCGUUGUUCGGAAUUACUGGGCGUAAAGGGCGCGUAGGCGGCACGGCAAGUCAGGAGUGAAAGGCCUGGGCUCAACCGAGGAACUGCUUUUGAGACUGCCGAGCUAGAGUGCAGAAGGGGCAACUGGAAUUCCCAGUGUAGCGGUGAAAUGCGUAGAUAUUGGGAAGAACACCUGAGGCGAAGGCGGGUUGCUGGGCUGACACUGACGCUCAUGCACGAAAGCGUGGGGAGCAAACAGG